AGAGUACAAACUUCAAAUUCUAAAAAAAUGUAUUUUCGAUAGUUUUCCAUCUUGUAUCACAAAAGUUAUGGAGUGCCCUUUUUGUAUUCGCACACCAAAUAUUAUCUCUUUAAUUAUGGCAUAAUACAUUAUUCGAUUCACAUAUACACACAAUUUUCAAAGCCUCACCAUAAAUCUCUUCUUUCGUAAAACACUGAGAAAUUAAACUAACAUUUGAAAGCAACCCUCCCAUGGACAUAUAUCGUGCAAAGAUGCUCCUCCUAAGAUGUAGCCACCAUUAAAUGAAUUUAAAAAGAAACAUUAUAAUAAAAUAUAAAGAUAUUGCCAUCUUUAUAUUCAACUCUCUUAAGGUGCUCACAUCAUUAUGUAUCAACUAAAACAUUAUUAUACUAACCAUUAGCAAAUUUUAGGGGAAUGAUAGUCUCACAUGCUAAUCAUAAUUAUGAUACCUACGUGGACGGUUGCAAUUGGAUUAUCAAAAAUAAUGAUAAUAAUAAAGUUUGUCUGCUUUGAUCAAUCAUAAAUUUUUUGAUUGCGUUAGAGAAAGUGACAUAUGGCCUAUGGGUUGGAUGAGAUAAGGUAAGCGUAAUUAGGCGCCGACAAAACUAAGAAUUUGUCAAAAAAAAACAAAGGCGAAAGGCUUUUUAUGUGAUUGAACGGGAGCAAAUUGUUCUGUUGCAUAUGUGUGUUGGGAAUGACAUCUAAUUAUUUGCCACCUGGAUUCCUAACACCGGCUAACGAGUAAUGAUCUUGAUUUGAUCCCUAAUCGGACGGUGGAUAAAGUCGGUGGGUCGGUCGACGCUUGAUUUGUUGUAAUCCAUCAAAGUCAAUGGCUUGUAAAUCUCAAAUGCUCAAUGUUGUCGUUCAAUUUCAAUAUUUAGGUUUUAAUCUGGACCGGAUUCAUUUUUUGAUUAAUGACUCAAUUUGAUAGGAUUCAGAGUACAGAAAUUGACGUGACUUAGAGAUGUAAGCAGCUAGACCAGACAAUCAAAAUUAGGAAAAAUAACACGUGAAUGUAUAUAUUAUGGGUGUUGUUAAAUUACAUUAUAAUAUAAAACUUACAUUAACUCAAGAGGUGUAAUUAGUGACCUAAAAGGAGUUUAGUUUGUUCUAGUUUUAAGUCACUAAUUACAUCUUAAUGGUUGAUGUAAAUUAUACUCAAAAUUUUUGUGAUAUAAGUUGACAAAUGUAUAAGUAGACAAACAAUUAAGAUUUCAGUUCCUAACCUCUCCUCAUUCUCACGGAUUUGUAUUGAUUUUUAUGCGAUGAUUGAUUAAAAAUUAGUUGCUAAAGAUGCAAGCAAGGACCUAGAAUUAGAGAUGGCAAAACCCCGGGUCGGGUUCGGGUAUUGCCAUGACCUGACCCUGCCCGGAUGCAACCGGUCCGGGCCGGGUUUAAUAAAAUUUGACAUGAAAAUAUAAACUUUAAGUGUUUAAAACUUUAUAUAUGUAUAAUAAAUAAGUCAAAUAAAUAUAAAAAUAUUUAAAAUAAUAUAUAUUUUAUAAUUUUUUUUAAUAAAAUCCAGAUUUCGGAUUUAUCAAGUGAUGCCCAAGACCGACCCGGCUUCAUACCCGGACUGGGUAUUACCCAACCCGCAACAUCCGGAUACAGUCCGAAUCCGAACCGGACGUAUAUUUUUACCACCUCUACCUAAAAUGUCCAAACAAAGUACUAAAGUGGUAUUAGGUUCGAAAUUUGAUUUUAUGAAUAAAAAUAACUUAUUUGAAGAGGGGUUUUUGUACUUAUUAAAGUACGAAAUAUCACAUCACCACUGUAUACGAUAACAAGUGCGAGAAAUCUGAUUGAAAAUUAUAUAUAUAUAUACACCAAUAGAUUCGAAGGAGCGGAGUGAAAAUAAGGCUCAACCUGAUUAUUGAUGUAAUGGGCGGCAUACAUGAGGCAAUUAUAGCCACCUAUCUCUUCUCCCUUAUCGGCAAAGCAAAAUGACAAAAACAAAAAAGGCGAAGUAAGCGUAAGUCAUCGCCCGUUCAAAAGAUAACUUGAUGACCAAAUUAGCAAAAUAGCAAGGCGACUGCUCAUUCGUGUUCAAAAUCAUGCACAUAUUGGAAAUUAUGUAAAUUUUAAUGCGCAUUUGUGACAUCAUUUGCCCGUUGCAAUGAUAGAUACUAUAUAUAUAUAUAUAUAUAUAUAUAUAGUGCAAUAUACUAACAAACCAAGAAAAUAUCGCUUUCACUACAUAAAAAUUAUAUAUAUAUAUAUAUAUAUAUAUUUUUAUAUUUUAAUGAUAUAUUUGAUGAAAUAAAAAUGUAGUGUUGGUUAAUUGUUAGGGAACUUCCCUAGCAGUGCUGCAAUCGCGUACGUGUUGAGUAUUCAUUUCAUAAAUGCAGAGUAAGAAGGAAGAUUAAAGCCGAGUGAGUCGUCAACUCAACUGCCAACAAAAAUCAGACCUCGAGUAGGGUCACGGUCACACAUUGAAAGCCUCACAUGCUGCACGUACUGUUUAAGAUUAUAUUUCUCGAGGCUGUAUUGAUGAUUGCAACAUGUGAGAGAGCAUUAUUAAGCAAAAGAGAGUAAAAGCAAAAUAAAUUGGCUGCAGAAUUGGGUUCAUUAUUAUUUAUGCUUACCCACUAUACACACAUAUAUAUUUCAGCUAGCAGCUACCACUUGGAAAAAAAGAAAAAGAAUGUGAAGUGGAGGAUAUAGAUGUGGACACAUUCUAGAAAUUUUAUUUUAUUUAUUUAAUUUAUUGCCGUUAUUAUUAUUCUUGUUGUUAUUUUCGUGGGUUGCCCAACAAACAAAAAACAAUGUUAUCAUCUUUUGUGCACCGUGGUCCUUACAUCUUUCGAUCAUGUCAUGACAUCAAAAUUAAAUUUGAAAAUUAAAAAAUAAAAAAAUCCAAUCUUAUCCGUAAGAUUAUUAGUUUGUUCCCCCUAUCUAUCUUUAAAUGUUAGAUAAACUUUGUCCUAAAAUGUUAUAUUACCAUUUAUUAUUAUGGUGUCUACUUUUACUGCUUUGAGUUUGAGUUCUAUUUAUAAAUUAGAAUAGAAUUUCGAGAUUUCAGUGUCUUUUUUCUGUUUAUUUAAAAAAUAGUACAUAGAUGAUUUAGUGAAUAAUUUCACUUACC
rnacentral:lncRNA from 1 species